GGAUGAAGAACUAGAGGACAACUCUGGAGAGAAGUAGUUCAAGAUAAAAACAGGUGGCGAAGUAUAGUAGUGGCAGCCGUAACUCUUAGACAGUAAAAUUAUGUCAUUAGAAGAAGAAGAAAAAGAAUGUCUACCUUAAUGAUAAGGCAAAUCCAUUAAUAUACUGUCCGACACUCGUUUAAAGGGAAAAAUUACAGCUUUUAAUACGGACGAACACGGUGUUUUAUACCGAAAAGCCAGACAAAAC